UGACUGCUAUCGGAUUGAUACUAAGCCAUGCGAGUCAUUGUAGCAAUACAAGGCAUACGGCUCAGUAACGCGUAGUCAACCUAACCUAUGGACGGGAAUAACCUCGGGAAACUGAGAAUAAUGCCCGAUAGAACACUAUACCUGGAAUGGUUUGUGUUCCAAAUGAUUUAUCGCCAUAGGAUGGGACUGCGGCCUAUCAGUUUGUUGGUGAGGUAAUGGCCCACCAAGACUAUUACAGGUACGGGCUCUGAGAGGAGUAGCCCGGAGAUGGGUACUGAGACACGGACCCAGGCCCUAUGGGGCGCAGCAGGCGAGAAAACUUUGCAAUGUGCGAAAGCACGACAAGGUUAAUCCGAGUGAUUUGUGCUAAACGAAUCUUUUGUUAGUCCUAGAAACACUAACGAAUAAGGGGUGGGCAAGUUCUGGUGUCAGCCGCCGCGGUAAAACCAGCACCUCAAGUGGUCAGGAUGAUUAUUGGGCCUAAAGCAUCCGUAGCCGGCUCUGUAAGUUUUCGGUUAAAUCUGUACGCUUAACGUACAGGCUGCCGGGAAUACUGCAGAACUAGGGAAUGGGAGAAGUAGACCGUACUCCGUAGGAAGUGGUAAAAUGCUUUGAUCUAUCGAUGACCACCUGUGGCCAAGGCGGUCUACCAGAACACGUUC
rnacentral:rRNA from 1 species